rnacentral:rRNA from 1 species
CCCUUAGAUGUCCGGGGCCGCACGCGUGCUACACUGAGUGGAUCAGCGGGUCAGGUUGCGCGAAAGUGUUUCCUAAUCUUUAAAUCCGCUCGUGAUGGGGAUUGACGGUUGCAAUUUUCCGUCAUGAACGAGGAAUACCUUGUAAGCGCGGGUCAUCAUCCCGCGCUGAAUACGUCCCUGCCCUUUGUACACACCGCCCGUCGCUCCUACCGAUUGAGUGGUCCGGUGAGGCUUUGGGAUCUGAGCGGAAAGAGCGUUUCGCUGUUUCUGCCCGGAAAACUCAGUCGAACCUUAUCAUUUAGAGGAAGGAGAAGUCGUAACA